rnacentral:rRNA from 1 species
UACGAAGGGGGCUAGCGUUGCUCGGAAUUAUUGGGCGUAAAGGGUAGGUAGGUGGUCUCAUUGUCUGGGGUGAAAGCCUUGGGCUUAACCCAAGAAGUGCCCCGGAACGGUGAGACUAGAGUCCUGGAGAGGGUCGUGGAAUUCCCGGUGUAGCGGUGAAAUGCGUAGAGAUCGGGAGGAACACCAGAGGCGAAGGCGGCCCGCUGGGCAGUGGCUGACGCUGAGGCGCGACAGCGUGGGGAGCAAACAGG